rnacentral:rRNA from 1 species
GAUGAACGCUGGCGGCGUGCUUAACACAUGCAAGUCGAACGAGAAAUGGAGACGGAAACCUUCGGGCGGAAGGCUUCAUUUCGAGUGGCGGACGGGUGAGUAACGCGUGGGUAUCCUGCCUCAUACAGGGGGAUAACAGUUGGAAACGACUGUUAAUACCGCAUAAGACCACAGCACCGCAUGGUGCGGGGGUAAAAACUCCGGUGGUAUGAGAUGGACCCGCGUUCGAUUAGCCAGUUGGCGGGGUAACGGCCCACCAAAGCGACGAUCGAUAGCCGAUCUGAGAGGAUGACCGGCCACAUUGGGACUGAGACACGGCCCAAACUCCUACGGGAGGCAGCAGUGGGGAAUAUUGCACAAUGGGGGAAACCCUGAUGCAGCGACGCCGCGUGAGUGAAGAAGUACUUCGGUAUGUAAAGCUCUAUCAGCAGGGAAGAAAAUGACGGUACCUGAGUAAGAAGCCCCGGCUAACUACGUG